rnacentral:rRNA from 1 species
UACAGAGGGUGCAAGCGUUAAUCGGAAUUACUGGGCGUAAAGCGCGCGUAGGUGGUUUGUUAAGUUGGAUGUGAAAUCCCCGGGCUCAACCUGGGAACUGCAUUCAAAACUGACAAGCUAGAGUAUGGUAGAGGGUGGUGGAAUUCCCUGUGUAGCGGUGAAAUGCGUAGAUAUAGGAAGGAACACCAGUGGCGAAGGCGACCACCUGGACUGAUACUGACACUGAGGUGCGAAAGCGUGGGGAGCGAACAGG